AGAGAGAGACAUGCGCGCAUAUCAAUAAGCGGAGGAAAAGAAACUAACAAGGAUUCCCUUAGUAACGGCGAGUGAAGCGGGAAGAGGCUCAAAUUUGAAAUCUUCAAGGUUUUACCUUGACGAAUUGUAGUUUAAAGAAGUGUUUUCUGCUGAAGUUUUGGUAAAAGUUCUUUGGAAUAGGACAUCAUAGAGGGUGAGAAUCCCGUAUUUGACCAUUAUUUUCAGCUUUGUGAUACACUUUCAAAGAGUCGGAUUGUUUGGGAAUGCAGUCCAAAAUGGGUGGUAAAUUUCAUCUAAAGCUAAAUAUUGGCGAGAGACCGAUAGCGAACAAGUACCGUGAGGGAAAGAUGAAAAGAACUUUGAAAAGAGAGUUAAACAGUACGUGAAAUUGUCAAAAGGGAAGCGUUUGACACCAGUGUUGUUUUCUCGAAAGUCAAUUAAAAAUGGCUCGAUUUUGUAUUGCUUGAGACCUUAAAAGCUCACUGUACAUUUUUCGUGUCUUUUUUAAUGCACUUUUCGUUUAACAAGUCAACAUCAGUUUCUUUUGUUGUAAAAGGGUCAUUGGAAGGUGGCUUUCUUUUCGGAGAAAGUGUUUAUAGCCUUUGGCCUCUGCAAUCGGAAGAGACUGAGGUCUGCAGCGUAGACUCUUCGGGGUUAGAUACAUUUGUGCUAAGUUAUAGCUUUUUAUAGACAACUUGUUGACUAUAAUUAGUCUUGUAGCUUACUCGCUUAUGCUAUUUUACCUACGCUUAGGAUGUUGAAGAUGUAGCACAUCAU
rnacentral:rRNA from 1 species